GUUUUCGCAUUGAUGUCAAGAACCGAUUGGGCCUUUAGUUUGAUUCGAUUUGGCUUCCUUAUUAAUUCAUUUUCAAAUUCGGAUUUCAGUUCAGUUCGGUUUUUAACUGAACUGACCAAAUGAACACCCCUACCAUUUAGUCCUGUACAUUAUGAUAUUGUUCUUGAUGAAAGGCUAGCGGGCCAUUGCUUCUUCCAUUUUCUUAUUAAUAAUGCAAUCUCCAAUGUCUUAUAAUUCUUGUAACAGAAAUGCAGUUGACUGCUAUCAUCAGGUUUA
rnacentral:misc_RNA from 1 species